rnacentral:rRNA from 1 species
AGUGAACGCUGGCGGUAUGCCUAACACAUGCAAGUCGAACGGCAGCACAGUAAGAGCUUGCUCUUACGGGUGGCGAGUGGCGGACGGGUGAGGAAUACAUCGGAAUCUACUUUUUCGUGGGGGAUAACGUAGGGAAACUUACGCUAAUACCGCAUACGACCUACGGGUUAAAGCAGGGGAUCUUCGGACCUUGCGCGAUUGAAUGAGCCGAUGUCGGAUUAGCUAGUUGGCGGGGUAAAGGCCCACCAAGGCGACGAUCCGUAGCUGGUCUGAGAGGAUGAUCAGCCACACUGGAACUGAGACACGGUCCAGACUCCUACGGGAGGCAGCAGUGGGGAAUAUUGGACAAUGGGCGCAAGCCUGAUCCAGCCAUACCGCGUGGGUGAAGAAGGCCUUCGGGUUGUAAAGCCCUUUUGUUGGGAAAGAAAAGCAGCAGGUUAAUACCCCGCUGUUCUGACGGUACCCAAAGAAUAAGCACCGGCUAACUUCGUG